rnacentral:rRNA from 1 species
UAAGGAAUAUUGGUCAAUGGACGCAAGUCUGAACCAGCCAUGCCGCGUGGAGGAUGAAGGCCCUCUGGGUUGUAAACUUCUUUUACAGGGGACGAAACACUUUCUUUCUAGAGAGCUUGACGGUACCCUGGGAAUAAGCACCGGCUAACUCCGUGCCAGCAGCCGCGGUAAUACGGAGGGUGCAAGCGUUAUCCGGAUUCACUGAGUUUAAAGGGUGCGUAGGCGGGCUUGUAAGUCCGUGGUGAAAUCUCUGAGCUUAACUCGGAAACUGCCAUGGAUACUAUGAGUCUUGAAUACUCGGGAGGUGAGCGGAAUAUGUCAUGUAGCGGUGAAAUGCUUAGAUAUGACAUAGAACACCAAUUGCGAAGGCAGCUUGCUACAGAGUUAUUGACGCUGAGGCACGAAAGCGUGGGGAUCAAACAGGAUUAGAUACCCUGGUAGUCCACGCCCUAAACUAUGGAUACUCGACGUUGGCGAUAUGACUGUCAGCGUCUGAGCGAAAGCAUUAAGUGUCCCACCUGGGAAGUACGACCGCAAGGUUGA